UACGUAGGGGGCGAGCGUUGUCCGGAUUUACUGGGCGUAAAAGGUUCGUAGGUGGCUCGUUCAGUCGAGCGUGAAAUCUCCCGGCUUAACUGGGAGGGGUCGUUCGAUACUAGCGGGCUCGAGGCCGGUAGAGGGAAGCGGAAUUCCGGGUGUAGUGGUGGAAUACGUAGAUAUCCGGAGGAACACCAGUGGCGAAGGCGGCUUCCUGGACCGGUUCUGACACUGAGGAACGAAAGCGUGGGGAGCGAUCCGG
rnacentral:rRNA from 1 species